rnacentral:rRNA from 1 species
GCUCUGCUAAAGAGGAGGAAGGGAAUGGGCAACGGUAGGUCAGCAUGCCCCGAAUUAUCUGGGCUACACGCGGGCUACAAUGGGUGGGACAAUGGGUAUCGACACCGAAAGGUGAAGGCAAUCUCCUAAACCCAUCCGUAGUUCGGAUUGUGGGCUGCAACUCGCCCACAUGAAGCUGGAAUCUGUAGUAAUCGUGUCUCAAAUGGCACGGUGAAUAUGUCCCUGCUCCUU